GCAAGUCGAGGGGUAACAGGAGUGCUUGCACUCUCUGACGCCCGGCGCACGCGUGCGUAACGCGUAUAGAACCUACCUUUUACUGAGGGAUAGACCAGAGAAAUUUGGAUUAAUACUUCAUGGUAUUAUCGAUUGGCAUCGAUUGAUAAUUAAAGAUUUAUUGGUAAGGGAUGGCUAUGCGUUCUAUUAGCUAGUUGGUAUGGUAACGGCAUACCAAGGCUACGAUAGAUAGGGGGCCUGAGAGGGAGAUC
rnacentral:rRNA from 1 species